rnacentral:rRNA from 1 species
AGCCUGAACGCUGGCGGCGUGGCUAAGACAUGCAAGUCGCACGGGUGUAGCAAUACACCAGUGGCGGACGGGUGAGUAAUGUAUCGCUAAUGUACCCCAGACACUGGGAUAGCCGGGGGAAACUCCGGGUAAUACCAGAUGAUAUAACCGAAUCGCAUGGUUUGGUUCUCAAAGUAGUAAUACGGUCUGGGAGCAGGUGAUAUCGUAUCAGCUUGUUGGUAGGGUAACGGCCUACCAAGGCUUUGACGCGUAGCUGGUCUGAGAGGACGACCAGCCACAUUGGGACUGAGACACUGCCCAGACCCCUACGGGGGGCUGCAGUAACGAAUCUUCCGCAAUGCACGAAAGUGUGACGGAGCGACGCCGCGUGUGGGACGAAGUCCUUCGGGAUGUAAACCACUGUCAGGGUUACCAAGUUCUGAGGAACCCAGAGGAAGGCACGGCUAACUCUGUGCCAGCAGCCGC